rnacentral:rRNA from 1 species
UACAGAGGUCUCAAGCGUUGUUCGGAUUCAUUGGGCGUAAAGGGCGCGUAGGCGGCCUCCUCAAGUCGACUGUGAAAUCUCCGGGCUUAACCCGGAAAGGUCAGCCGAAACUGCGGGGCUAGAGUGCAGAAGGGGCAACUGGAAUUCUCGGUGUAGCGGUGAAAUGCGUAGAUAUCGAGAGGAACACCUGCGGCGAAGGCGGGUUGCUGGGCUGACACUGACGCUGAAGCGCGAAAGCUAGGGGAGCGAACGGG